rnacentral:snoRNA from 1 species
GUUUAAGAUAGAGCGUAGCAACUUGGAAUAAAACCUGGCACGCCUGCGGUCUUUGGCGGGGCGGGGGAUGCUUACUUCCUCUGCCUUUCUUUGGCUGCCCACAUGC